rnacentral:rRNA from 1 species
UACGUAGGGGGCGAGCGUUGUCCGGAAUUACUGGGCGUAAAGGGCACGUAGGCGGUUCGUUAAGUUGGUUGUGAAAUCACCCGGCCCAACUGGGUGGGGACAGCCGAUACUGGCGAGCUUGAGGGAGGCAGAGGGAAGCGGAAUUCCCGGAGUAGUGGUGAAAUGCGUAGAUACCGGGAGGAACACCAGUGGCGAAGGCGGCUUCCUGGGCUUUUCCUGACGCUGAGGUGCGAAGGCGUGGGGAGCGAAC